rnacentral:rRNA from 1 species
AACGAACGCUGGCGGCAGGCUUAACACAUGCAAGUCGAGUGCCCCGCAAGGGGAGCGGCAGACGGGUGAGUAACGCGUGGGAACGUACCUUUUGGUUCGGAACAACUCCGGGAAACUGGAGCUAAUACCGGAUAAGCCCUAACGGGGAAAGAUUUAUCGCCGAAAGAUCGGCCCGCGUCUGAUUAGCUAGUUGGUGAGGUAACGGCUCACCAAGGCGACGAUCAGUAGCUGGUCUGAGAGGAUGAUCAGCCACACUGGGACUGAGACACGGCCCAGACUCCUACGGGAGGCAGCAGUGGGGAAUAUUGGACAAUGGGCGCAAGCCUGAUCCAGCCAUGCCGCGUGAGUGAUGAAGGCCUUAGGGUUGUAAAGCUCUUUUGUCCGGGAAGAUAAUGACUGUACCGGAAGAAUAAGCCCCGGCUAACUUCGUG